GACGAACGCUAGCGGUGUGCUUAACACAUGCAAGUCGAACGGAAAGGCCCUGCUUUUGUGGGGUGCUCGAGUGGCGAACGGGUGAGUAACACGUGAGUAACCUGCCCUUGACUUUGGGAUAACUUCAGGAAACUGGGGCUAAUACCGGAUAGGAGCUCCUGCUGCAUGGUGGGGGUUGGAAAGUUUCGGCGGUUGGGGAUGGACUCGCGGCUUAUCAGCUUGUUGGUGGGGUAGUGGCUUACCAAGGCUUUGACGGGUAGCCGGCCUGAGAGGGUGACCGGCCACAUUGGGACUGAGAUACGGCCCAGACUCCUACGGGAGGCAGCAGUGGGGAAUAUUGCACAAUGGGCGGAAGCCUGAUGCAGCAACGCCGCGUGCGGGAUGACGGCCUUCGGGUUGUAAACCGCUUUCGCCUGUGACGAAGCGUGAGUGACGGUAAUGGGUAAAGAAGCACCGGCUAACUACGUG
rnacentral:rRNA from 1 species